rnacentral:rRNA from 1 species
UACGUAGGGGGCAAGCGUUGUCCGGAUUUAUUGGGCGUAAAGAGCGUGUAGGCGGUUUGGUAGGUCCGUUGUGAAAACUCGAGGCUCAACCUCAAGACGCCGAUGGAAACCAUCAGACUAGAGUCCGGAAGAGGAGAGUGGAAUUCCUGGUGUAGCGGUGAAAUGCGCAGAUAUCAGGAAGAACACCCGUGGCUAAGGCGGCUCUCUAGUACGGUACUGACGCUGAGACGCGAAAGCGUGGGGAGCGAACAGG